UGGGAUCAAAACAAAGGCACAGUGAACUCACAGCAUCUUCUUUGGGAUUACUCAGGAACCAGAACUUUUCACACAAAUGUAAGAAAUUCUACCAAGGAAUCCCUUUACCUAACAGCAUCUCAUAAAGCUCCAAUCAGAUUCCAGAAAAGGCCUCUUGAUACAUCCAGGUAGAACCUA
ensembl:misc_RNA